rnacentral:rRNA from 1 species
AGGACGAACGCUGGCGGCGUGCCUAAUACAUGCAAGUCGAACGGCUUUUCUAUGGAAGCUUGCUUCCACUGAGAAGAUAGUGGCGAACGGGUGAGGUAACACGUGGGUAACCUGCCCAUAAGAGGGGGAUAACAUCCGGAAACGGGUGCUAAUACCGCAUAGUUUUCUUGAUCGCAUGAUCGGGAAAGGAAAGACGGCCUUUGUGCUGUCGCUUAUGGAUGGACCCGCGGCGUAUUAGUUAGUUGGUGAGGUAACGGCUCACCAAGACGAUGAUACGUAGCCGACCUGAGAGGGUGAUCGGCCACAUUGGGACUGAGACACGGCCCAAACUCCUACGGGAGGCAGCAGUAGGGAAUCUUCCGCAAUGGACGAAAGUCUGACGGAGCAACGCCGCGUGAGUGAAGAAGGUUUUUCCGGAUCGUAAAACUCUGUUGUCAGAGAAGAACAAGUUGGAGAGUAACUGCUCCAGCCUUGACGGUAUCUGACCAGAAAGCCACGGCUAACUACGUGCCAGCCGCUGC